rnacentral:rRNA from 1 species
UCUGCGGAAGGAUCAUUACAGAGAAAUUGCCCUUUCAGGGUAUAUCUCCACCCUCUGUUUACAAUACUAUUGUUGCUUUGGUAGGCCCGUUUUAAUACCGCCGGCCUUAUUGCUGGUCAGCGUCUGCCAAAGAAAACUUUUAAUACUCUUUGUAAUAGUUUGUCAGAGUCUUAUUUAAAAAGUUUAAAACUUUCAACAACGGAUCUCUUGGUUCUGGCAUCGAUGAAGAACGCAGCGAAAUGCGAUAAGUAAUGUGAAUUGCAGAAUUCAGUGAAUCAUCGAAUCUUUGAACGCACAUUGCACCUUCUGGUAUUCCGGGAGGUAUGCCUGUUCGAGCGUCAUUGCAACCAACAAGCUUAAAGCUUGGUAUUGGAUGUCAUUAAUCAGUGCAUCUUAAAAUUAGUGGCAGUGCCAUUCAGCUUCAAGCGUAGUAAAUAUCUCGCUUCUGGAGUUUGCAUGUUACACUUCCCAGAACCCCUAUAAUUAUCAAGGUUUGACCUCGGAUCAGGUAGGGAUACCCGCUGAACUUAAGCAUAUCAAUAAGCGGAGGA